UACGGAGGGUGCAAACGUUGCUCGGAAUCAUUGGGCGUAAAGCGCACGUAGGCGGCCUGAUAAGUCGGGUGUGAAAGCCCUGGGCUCAACCCAGGAAGUGCACUCGAAACUGUCAGGCUUGAAUAUGGAAGAGGGUCGCGGAAUUCCCGGUGUAGAGGUGAAAUUCGUAGAUAUCGGGAGGAACACCAGUGGCGAAGGCGGCGACCCUGGGCCAAUAUUGACGCUGAGGUGCGAAAAGCGUGGGGGAGCAAACAGG
rnacentral:rRNA from 1 species